CUUCAGCCCACACAGAGGGAAGUUUGUUUUCCUAGUCACGUAGGGAAAACACUGCACCAAGACCACACACCUUCUACUUCCUCUUCGCAUCAUCUGUGUAGUCGGCCCACUCUGCUCCUAGAGGAGACCAACUCCUUCACUCCAUCAAGCCUGAAGCACUGGCUGCUGCUGGGACAAGGGUAAACGUCCUUCUCCGGCUCCCGGGCAGCUUGCUGCUGUGAAUGACCCUGCUGGGACUUCCAUGCGUCUCUUCCUCUGAGGGAGCUGGUGAUCUGGUUCCUUCUCCAGGAAAGGGAACUUUCCCCUGUCCACCUCUGACUCCCAGCACAUAUGCAGUGAUUGCGAUAUUCAGCCCAUGGCUCCUCCAACACCCACAUGCACCUCACUCCGCCAGAGAUGAAGAAUCACAGACCUGUGGUGGCACUGCGAUGAAGACCCUUGGUGGGAGGACUUGCAGAAAGAAAAUGUCAUGUGAAGAUACACUGAGAUGGCUGCUGCUGCUGCUGCUGCUAAGUCUCUUCAGUCGUGUCCGACUCUGUGCGACCCCCAUAGACGACAGCCCACCAGGCCCCCCCGUCCCUGGGAUUCUCCAGGCAAGAACACUGGAGUGGGUUGCCAUUUCCUUCUCCAGUGCAUGAAAGUGAAAAGUGAAAGGGAAGUCACUCAGUUGUGUCCGACUCUUCGUGAUCCCAUGGACUGCAGCCUACCAGGCUCCUCCAUCCAUGGGAUUUUCCAGGCAAGAGUACUGGACACCGAGAUGGCAGCCACCCACAAGUCAAGAGAAGAGGCCUCAGCAUGAAGCUACCUUGCUGGCAUCCUGAUCUUGGACUUCUUGCCAGCAGAACUUUAAGAAAUUACAUUUCUGAUCUUUAAGCCUCCCAGUCUGUGGCAUUUUGUUAUGGGAGCCUGAGCUGACUAAGACAGCAUGUGUUAGAGGGAGAGCAGAGGGUGGAGAGUUCAACUGAAGCAUACACAGGGACGUGACAAGAGAGUCAGGAGCUGGAGUCCCAGGUGCAGAUGGGCUCUAGAGACCCACGGGAGGCCCCCCAACCACAGCUUGGCCCCAUUUCUCCCCGGGCCUGCUGAUGCCCUCUCCCCAGGACUGGCUGCGCUGCCUUCUCCCCUUUGCUGCUGGGGUGGACUGUCACACUGUCUGCAUGUCUCCCAGCAAAGGGGGCCUUGUGGCCAUAUGGCCUGGAUGUACUUCAGGAAACACAGGUCUCCUCUUCCUGGGACUCCCCAGAGUAGCAGGGGAGAAAUGGCAGCUGCUUUGCCCAGGUGCUGCCUGAAGGCUUGUGAGAGUGGCUUUGAGACCCUGGACUCUCAAUGCCAACUGUGACCUUGAUUCGGUAUCCUUCCCAAACAGUUCUGCAAAGCUGCCAGAACCCCUACAUUUUACUGCAUAUGGGCUUAUCUUAGUCUGCUCCGUCUGGAGAAGAUGGCACCUGUCUGAACCCACCUCCAUCUCAUCAGCAUUCCCUUGCCUUCUCUGGCCUCAGAGGGCAUUGUCUCUCCUCCCCUCACUCAGGGUAGAGCAGCAACCCUGGCUCCCUCUUCCAGUCCUGGGUACCACGAGGAGCAUGACCAGCCCUGGGAAGGGCUCAGGCUGUGGGCUCCAGUCCCUGCUGGAGACCCUCACCUUGAUUUGUUCCUGUGGCAUUAUUGUCAGUCGGGGACUGUACUCAGGAGUCUGGUCAUGUUUGGACCGAUUCAAUUUGAUUGGUUGAUUCAUUCCUUCUUUCCUUGCUGGAAAAAAUGAAUUUAACACACUGUGUCAUGAAGAAUUAACUUUCCCAAAGAGAUGUCCGGCCUUUGCUAUUGGCUACUGGGAAACAAUCUUUGGACCUUUAGAAUAUCAGGUCUGAUAAGCAUGUCUUUGUUUGCAUGGGGACCUUGGCCACCAGACCGUCUAACAGUGUGAUCUAUGAUGAGGGCUUUGGGCCAUGCAGUAUCAUUUCUCUCCCCUAACUUUUGUAAGGACUAGAAACUAAAGGUCAGCCAUGAGGGCUGUAUGUCAUCAAGACACCAGAAAAAUGGCACCAAGGUUUGGGUGAGCUUCUCUGUGAGUAAUGUCACAUACUGAUGCCAAGAGCAUAACACUGUCCUAGGAUUCCACAGGGAGAGGACAUGUUUGGUACUUUUCCUGGGCCUCUGCAUGUCCUUGCUAGGCUGAUUUUAACCUAUGAGUGGCACCCCACUCUAGUACUCUUGCCUGGCAAAUCCCAUGGAUGGAGGAGCCUGGUAGGCCGCAGUCCAUGGGGUCACGAAGAG
ensembl:lncRNA